CAGGUGAGCCGGCCGGAUCGCUUCAAGGUGAGCACGGUACGAUACUGUAUAGGUUCCGGCUACACAGUGGUUCAGUUAUCAGUUCCGCCUCAGGUGUGAAAUGCUCAGGUUGUGCACGGGCAAGCUGGGCCCAACUCUCAAUAUAAAUAUCCAAUUUAAAUUACGCUUAUAAAAGAAUAAUUGGCAUAUUUAUCACGUGCUCCCCCUCUUCUGCACAGACUUCAUCAAAUAAACCUUGAGCCGUCAUUGUUUGCAUUCAAACUAAUCUAAAUUGGCAUGAAAAUUUAACAAGGCCAUCCAAGUGUGCACCUGCAUAAGUAUAUCAUUGCUCAGUUGUGGUUGGAAAACUUCCCAAAAGAGAUUCCUACUGGUGCAUUUGUGAUUCACCGGGUGAGUAAAGCCUUCCAGCGGGCUCUUGGCUGGUUUUAUUUAGAAAAACAUCCUUUCACACUUGCAUUUGCACCCAAGAACAAUUUAUAGUCUUCAAUCAACUCAACAUGCAGGUUUUUGCAAUGCAGGAGAUAAAAUAGCCUACCUGCAGAACAAUCAUGGAAGCACAGGGUAGAACGUAUUCCGAAACCUAAGAAUAAAAGUCACAUAGGGAAGGCCGCAGCCUCAAUUUGACUCCCCAAGCACAAAACUGUGAGGUGAAAAUCAAAUUUGUCCCUGUUAUCGGUAUGCAUCUACUCCACUUGUACCUCGCAGGUUAAAGUAAAAAAAAAAAAGUACAAGGUUGUGAAGAGACAGUGAUAAAUCUACUUUCAGAUACAGCAAAAGAGAGCUAAAAA